AGCAGUCGCCACGGUAAAACGGAGGGUGCAAGCGUUAAUCGGAAUUACUGGGCGUAAAGCGCACGCAGGCGGUCUGACAAGUCAGAUGUGAAAUCCCCGGGCUUAACCUGGGAACUGCAUUUGAAACUGUCAGGCUGGAGUCUUGUAGAGGGGGGUAGAAUUCCAGGUGUAGCGGUGAAAUGCGUAGAGAUCUGGAGGAAUACCGGUGGCGAAGGCGGCCCCCUGGACAAAGACUGACGCUCAGGUGCGAAAGCGUGGGGAGCAAACAGGAUUAGAUACCCGUGUAGUCCCUGUCUCUUAUAC
rnacentral:rRNA from 1 species